rnacentral:misc_RNA from 1 species
GACCAGGUACAGAGUACAGACUCUUACCCUUCAGGAAAUUAUAAUUAGAUGAGCUCAGACAGAGAGCUUCGGAAAAAUGAUGAAACAGAGUAAGCAAAUCCAGUUCAAAGGAGGCAGAAUGGGAUAACAAAUACGGACUCGUGUUACGGUGCCUGACUAAAUAAAUUUAUUCAGAUAAACUAGAUUGGAUGCCCAUUUUUUACAUAAAACUCAAGACAUUCAGCUGUCUUGAUAUUAUACAGGA